rnacentral:rRNA from 1 species
CCUACGGGWGGCWGCAGUAGGGAAUCUUCCGCAAUGGGCGAAAGCCUGACGGAGCAACGCCGCGUGAGUGAUGAAGGUUUUCGGAUCGUAAAGCUCUGUUGCCAGGGAAGAACGUCCGGUAGAGUAACUGCUACCGGAGUGACGGUACCUGAGAAGAAAGCCCCGGCUAACUACGUGCCAGCAGCCGCGGUAAUACGUAGGGGGCAAGCGUUGUCCGGAAUUAUUGGGCGUAAAGCGCGCGCAGGCGGCUAUUUAAGUCUGGUGUUUAAACCUUGGGCUCAACCUGAGGUCGCACUGGAAACUGGGUGGCUUGAGUACAGAAGAGGAAAGUGGAAUUCCACGUGUAGCGGUGAAAUGCGUAGAGAUGUGGAGGAACACCAGUGGCGAAGGCGACUUUCUGGGCUGUAACUGACGCUGAGGCGCGAAA